GUUUCAGCUUCCUUACAUAAAAAAGAAAUAUGUUUUUUUUCCUCCUUU
rnacentral:sRNA from 1 species